rnacentral:rRNA from 1 species
GAUGAACGCUGGCGGCGUGCCUAAUACAUGCAAGUCGAGCGAACGGACGAGAAGCUUGCUUCUCUGAUGUUAGCGGCGGACGGGUGAGUAACACGUGGAUAACCUACCUAUAAGACUGGGAUAACUUCGGGAAACCGGAGCUAAUACCGGAUGAUAUUUUGAACCGCAUGGUUCAAAAGUGAAAGACGGUCUUGCUGUCACUUAUAGAUGGAUCCGCGCUGCAUUAGCUAGUUGGUAAGGUAACGGCUUACCAAGGCAACGAUGCAUAGCCGACCUGAGAGGGUGAUCGGCCACACUGGAACUGAGACACGGUCCAGACUCCUACGGGAGGCAGCAGUAGGGAAGCUUCCGCAAUGGGCGAAAGCCUGACGGAGCAACGCCGCGUGAGUGAUGAAGGUCUUCGGAUCGUAAAACGAUGUUAUUAGGGAAGAACAGAUGUGUAAGUAACUGUGCACAUCUUGACGGUACCUAAGCAGAAAGCCACGGCUAACUACGU